rnacentral:rRNA from 1 species
UACGUAGGUGGCAAGCGUUUGUCCGGAUUUACUGGGCGUAAAGAGCGCGCAGGCGGUCGUUUCAAGUCACGUGUGAAAGCCCCCGGCUCAACUGGGGAGGGUCACGCGAUACUGAUCGACUCGAAGGCAGGAGAGGGUAGUGGAAUUCCCGGUGUAGUGGUGAAAUGCGUAGAUAUCGGGAGGAACACCAGUGGCGAAGGCGACUACCUGGCCUGUUCUUGACGCUGAGGCGCGAAAAGCUAGGGGAGCAAACGGGGAUUAGAAAACCC